AUUGAACGCUGGCGGCAGGCCUAACACAUGCAAGUCGAACGGUAACAGGAAGCAGCUUGCUGCUUCGCUGACGAGUGGCGGACGGGUGAGUAAUGUCUGGGAAGCUGCCUGAUGGAGGGGGAUAACUACUGGAAACGGUAGCUAAUACCGCAUAAUGUCGCAAGACAAAAGAGGGGGACCUUCGGGCCUCUUGCCAUAGGAUGUGCCCAGAUGGGAUUAGCUUGUUGGUGGGGUAACGGCACACCAAGGCGACGAUCCCUAGCUGGUCUGAGAGGAUGACCAGCCACACUGGAACUGAGCCACGGUCCAGACUCCUACGGGAGGCAGCAGAGGGGAAUAUUGCACAAUGGGCCCAAGCCUGAUGCAGCCAUGCCGCGUGGAUGAAGAAGGCCUUCGGGUUGUAAAGUACUUUCAGCGGGGAGGAAGGGAGUAAAGUUAAUACCUUUGCUCAUUGACGUUACCCGCAGAAGAAGCACCGGCUAACUCCGUG
rnacentral:rRNA from 1 species